AUGGGGUCCGAAGCCGGCGGCGGCGCCGCCGCGAUUGACCUGCUCCGCUCGGCGGCGCCCUUCCUGCCGGACGCCGACCUUCUCCUGACGCCCGGCACGGGGCUCGUCCUCGUCGACCUCGUUAACGGCUUCUGCACCGUCGGCGCCGGGAACCUCGCCCCUGUCACCCCAAAUAAGCAGAUCGAGAAGAUGGUGGAGGAGUCUACCAGGCUUGCCAAGGUGUUCUGCCAGAGGAACUGGCCGGUCUUUGCGUUCCUUGAUACCCACCAUCCCGAUAGGCCCGAGCCGCCUUUCCCGCCGCACUGCAUCAUCGGCUCCGGUGAAGAAAACUUUGUUCCAGCUCUGGAGUGGCUGGAGAAUGAUCCAAAUGUGACAAUGAGGCGCAAGGACUGCAUUGAUGGUUAUCUUGCUUCAUUUGAGAAGGACGGGUCCAAUGUUUUCAGCGAGUGGGUCGCAAAGUUCCAGAUCAAAACCGUUUUGGUUGUAGGAAUAUGCACUGACUUCUGUGUUUUGGACUUUGUGAGUUCUACUCUGGCUGCAAGAAACAUUGGCCGAGUGCCCCCGUUGGAAGAUGUUGUGAUCUAUUCCGAGGGAUGUGCGACAUUUGACCUCCCUGUCGAAGUAGCCAGGAGUAUCAAGGGAGCUUUGGCCCAUCCACAGGAUCUUAUGCAUCACAUGGGACUUUACAUGGCCAAAUCAAGGGGUGCGAAGAUAGUUGACGGAAUUCUCGAAGAAUAA
rnacentral:rRNA from 1 species